GAUGAAGAACGCAGCGAAAUGCGAUAAUUAAUGUGAAUUGCAGAAUUCCGUGAAUCAUCGAGUCUUUGAACGCACAUUGCACCUCAUGGCAUUCCGUGAGGCAUGCCCAUCUCAGCGUUAGAAAAUAUUCUCAAAUUUUAGUUUUGUGCUAAAAUUUGGAUCAUGUCAUGGAAGCUAUUACUAUUAUUGUGAUCGCUCUUUGGAAAUUGAUAGGUCUUUGAGUUGCUACUCAUAGAACGUGAUGAAUCUUUCUUCGUUCUAUUGUAAUUCACUCUGUUAGUCCUAAAACUUGUAUGCCUGUGGCAUAUCUUGUAAUUUGACCUGAGAUUGGGUAGGGAUACCCGCUGAACUUAAGCAUAUCAAUAAGCGGAGGA
rnacentral:misc_RNA from 1 species